rnacentral:rRNA from 1 species
UUAUUGAAACUGGUAUGAACGGCUUAACAUAUUGAUUUUCUGUUUAUUAAAUCAUAUUAAAAUUUUUAUUUUGUGUAAAAAUACAUAAAUGUGUGUGAGGGACGAUAAGACCCUAAAAGCUUUAUUUAAAGGUUUUGCGUAUUUAUUGUUUAUAUUUUUUGUAAAAAGAAUAAUUUUGACUGGGGUAGUAGUUUUUAAAAACAAUAAUUUUUUUGUAUAUUUUUGUUAUAAGAUCCUUAAAAUUAAGAUAAGUAGUUUAAGUUACUUUAGGGAUAACAGCAUAAUAAUAAUGGUAAGACCUUAUUUAUAUUAUUGGUUGUGACCUCGAUGUUGAAUUAAUUUUCUUUGUGAGGUAGAAAAUACAAAAGAAAGUUUGUUCAACUUUUAAUUUUUUACAUGAUCUGA